UUUUAAAAUCUGAAAGACCCACCUCAAAAAAAUAGAUUUGAAGUAAACAUUUUACCUUCAAUUACCUUGAAUUCUUAAAACCGUUUUAACAAUUGUUAUCAGCUUAAAAUAACAUACACCUGCUAACUUCUCUUAGCUUACUUACCGUGCAAAUGGAAAUUUUGCAAAAAAGUGAAUAAAAGUAAAACCUUUAUCUUCCUUUAUUAAUUAAUUUACUAAAAAAAAGUACUUACUAAACUCAAAAUUAUUUGUCGGAAAUUAUAGGGAAGAACGUUUGGAGACACAAACCAGGACUUGGUGAACAAAAUCAUGUAAGAAUGUAAUACGGUACUUACCUCCCUCAUACAAAUUUUAUUUUUAAAAAACAAUUGCAGGGCUAGUAAAGUAAGAACUAAAAAAUAAAAAAUGUUCCAAUGGCGUAAUAAUUUUUAGCAAUUUUUUCGAUGGCGCUGAAAGAGUCAAAGACAAAAUAACGUAAGGUAUUAAUUGUGACAGUUGUAGGUACAUUUUUUUUUCAGGAAAAACAGUUAUCAUUAAAAAUCAAAUUGAACGAAACUCCAAUUUAUUGCUUUAAACAUCAUCCUCGGAAUAGUGCGAAAAUAUUUCUUUGCUGUUUUGAUUAAAAUCGAAAAGCACGUUUGCAAAUUUUAAGUUUAUUUAAUCUUGGUGUAGUACCUUAAGGAAUAUGUUGUUUCAAAAACGUACAAGUGGAAAAAAUAACAAAAAUAACAUUAUGAAAAAAAAAUUAUGUAACAUAGUCCGUAAAAUAGCUCAUUAUGUCAAGACAUAAACAGUUAAUCACCAUUUAAAUAGAGUUACAAGAAAUAUAAUUACUUCUGAAAUGUAUAAACUGGAGUAAUAAAGACUUUAAACACGUUUCUGCAUAAUUUUGAACGCAAAAUUUUACCCAAAAAACAAUUUAAUUUUGAGAACUAAAAAGAAGUUUGCUGUUAUUUUUCUAUUACUUGUUGCCUCCAUCAUGGCUACAGACGCCACUGGCGAGGGAAGAACGUUUGGAGGCACAAACCAGAACUUGGUGAACAAAAUCAUGUAAAAAUGUAAUACGGUACUUACCUCCCUCAUACAAAUUUUAUUUUUAAGAGACUAUUGCAGGGCUAGUAAUCAAUUUUUUCGAUGGCGCUGAAAGAGUCAAGGACAAAAUAACGUAAGGUGUUAAUUGUGACAGUUGUAGGUACAUUUUUUUUCAGGAAAAACAGUUAUCAUUAAAAAUCAAAUUAAACGAAACUCCAAUUUAUUGCUUUAAACAUCAUCCUCGGAAUAGUGCGAAAAUAUUUCUUUGCUGUUUUGAUUAAAAUCGAAAAGCACGUUUGCAAAUUUUAAGUUUAUUUAAUCUUGAUGUAGUACCUUAAGGAAUAUGUUGUUUCAAAAACGUACAAGUGGAAAAAAUAACAAAAAUUACAUUAUGAAAAAAAAUUAUGUAACGUAGUCUGUAAAAUAGCUCAUUAUGUCAAGACAUAAACAGUUAGUCACCAUUUAAAUAGAGUUACAAGAAAUAUAAUUACUUCUGAAAUGCAUAAACUGGAGUAAUAAAGACUUUAAACACGUUUCUGUAUAAUUUUGAACGCAAAGUUUUACCCAAAAAACAAUUUAAUUUUGAGAACUAAAAAGAAGUUUGCUGUUAUUUUUCUAUUACUUGUUGCUUCCAUCAUGGCUAUAGACGCCACUGGCGAGGGAAGAACGUUUGGAGGCACGAACCAGGACUUGGUAAACAAAAUCAUUUAAGAAUGUAAUACGGUACUUACCUUCCUCAUAAAAAUUUUAUUUUUAAAAGACAAUUGCAGGGCUAGUAAAGUAAGAACUAAAAAAUAAAAAAUGUUCCAAUGGUGUAAUAAUUUUUAGCAAUUUUUUCGAUGGCGCUGAAAGAGUCAAGGACAAAAUAACGAAAAACAGUUAUCAUUAAAAAUCAAAUUAAACGAAAGAAACUCCAAUUUAUUGCUUUAAACAUCAUCCUCGGAAUAGUGCGAAAAUAUUUCUUUGCUGUUUUGAUUAAAAUCGAAAAGCACGUUUGCAAAUCUUAAGUUGAUUUAAUCUUGGUGUAGUACCUUAAGGAAUAUGUUGUUUUAAAGACGUAAAAGUAAAAAAUAUAACAAAAUUAACAUUAUGAAAAAAAAUUAUGUAACAUAGUCCGUAAAAUAGCUCAUUAUGUCAAGACAUAAACAGUUAAUCACCAUUUAAAUAGAGUUACAAGAAAUAUAAUUACUUCUGAAAUGUAUAAACUGGAGUAAUAAAGACUUUAAACACGUUUCUGUAUAAUUUUGAAUGCAAAGUUUUACCCAAAAAACAAUUUAAUUUUGAAAACUAAAAAGAAGUUUGCUGUUAUUGUUGCUUCCAACAUGGCUAUAGACGCUACUGGCGAGGUACAAAUAACGAUUAUUCUUGAUUUUUACUUAUUUUCUAUAUUUUGUUUUAAAAUCUAAAAGACCCACCUCAAAAAAAUAGAUUUGAAGUAAGCAUUUUACCUUCAUUACCUUGAAUUCUUAAAACCGUUUUAACAAUUGUUAUCAGCUUAAAAUAACAAACACCUGCUAACUUCUCUUAGCUUAC